rnacentral:rRNA from 1 species
AAUUUUGGACAAUGGGCGCAAGCCUGAUCCAGCCAUGCCGCGUGUGUGAAGAAGGCCUCCGGGUUGUAUAGCUCUUUCGUACGGAGGGAAAUCGCGCAGGCUAAUACCCUGCGCGGAGGAAGGUACCGCCAUAAGAAGCACAGCCUAAUUACGUGCCAGCAGCCGCGGUAAUACGUAGGGUGCGAGCGUUAAUCGGAAUUACUGGGCGUAAAGCGUGCGCGGGCGGUUGAUUAAAACAGGCGUGAAAUCCCCGGGCUUAACCUGGGAACUGCGCUUGUGACUGGUCAGCUAGAGUACGGCAGAGGGGGGUGGAAUUCCACGUGUAGCAGUGAAAUGCGUAGGGAUGUAGAGGAACACCGAUGGCGAAGGCAGCCCCCUGGGCCGAUACUGACGCUCAUGCACGAAAGCGUGGGUAGCAAACAGG